rnacentral:rRNA from 1 species
AAGUAGCUGAUGUCAAACCAGUCCAAUAGGUAGUCAAGUAUGAAGUACCAUGUAAUUCAGGAGUAGCAACAUAGUAGACUGUGGAGAUAACAGGGCUUCCUGAUAUGGUAGCGGUGAACACACUGGUUGAGUAUGUAACAGUGUUAUUUCCGUCAACA